CCGAGGUUCCCACCAGAUCGUCUUCCGUGCAAUAAAAAUUAGGGUAUGGGGUUGUAACAUAUGUGUAACGCGAGGGGCGUAUCCGUUCCGUGGCUGUGGUCCGUCCGUCCACCCGUCUGUGGCAAAGAAGCAGUGGAGUUCAGUUCCGCACGGGACCGGAUGCUCUGACCAAAGACACACAUAAGACACUGUGUGAGGGCGCCCUAAGGAUUCGGAGGUGUAGCUCAAGAUUUACAGUGGCGCUUGUAGGCAAUAAGUCAUGUCUGGUGAACAUGUCGCCUACCACAGGCUUCACACGUGGCUUGAGUAAGAUGGGCGAGCAUGAAACGCGAUACGCAAAGCCACUCCUUCACGAUAUUAUCGCGCCAAUGUGCCACUGCAAUGUCUGCCACCUAGUAGUCACUCAGCCAUCCUACAACGCAGCAUCACUUCGUUUCAGGCCGACUGACAAUAUUGAGUAGAAGAUUGCUCUGAAGUUGGGCAUAAUGAUGAUUGUACGGAAUAAUUUUGGGCCAGUGCGGCGUCUUUGAGUGUCACGCAAUUCGUGGUUCCGUCGUAUCUGCUCCCACCUGGGGCUGAAUUCACCUCACACCUAAGUAUCAUCUUUAAAAUGCACGAUAGAAUUGACCAGAAGCGUAAUUCCCCGUGUAAUUCCACGGUUGCUUAAUUUGCAGACAAGUUCCACCUUGAAAGACAGAAGGCAGCAGAGAUCACACACGUAAUGCACCAUGUACACCAGACCUGGAUAUAUCCGUGAUAUCGAUAUACGAUUCUGUGGUGUGUGCCUCGAAGAUUUUACGUGGGGGAAUGGGGUUGCUCGGGGGCGGUACCAACGACCACACAGGGCGCCGACGAGAAUUACGUCCCUGGAUACCAAAGGAGUUCGCUGUAUAGGGUGUCGGAAUGAAAAGGUCAUCGAUAAAAAGGACACCCGUUACACUGGCUGUUACCGCAUUGGGUGUGAUUUACGCGUCCCCUGAUUUACACUGAUUACGGGGCCCCGCCACGUCGCAAAGCAAAUACAUCCCCCACAGCACCCACUCGCCGAAGCAACAUCAAUUUCCAUUGAUUGAUUUUACUCGGGUAUUAAAUUAAUCUCCACUAGAGGCCAGGCUGAAUCGCCAUUUCUGGAAUCUUCAAAGAAGUUCCGCUACUGGGUGCUGCCGUUAUACCUUGCACACUCCUCGUAUCCAUCUAUCAGACGCCACGUACCGAGGCAACUGGUUGUACGCGUUUACAACGGACGAAUUACUUAAUAUUUAUCACCUCACAGACGUGCCGUGGCAAAUUGGUUCGCGAGGCGUUUAAGGACCUCCAUGCUCAGCACCUCUUCUUCGUCGCCGAAGAAGCCCUCCGGCAAACGUGACCGGACGGCCGAAUCAUAAAUUCCAUGAAGUAAUGCAACGUCCGCUGCGAUUAUUUACUGAUACUUACAAGACGCCAGGACCCAGACAUACUACCCCGUAUCUUGUGCAGGAUUAUUUUUAUUUAUUAUUAUAUAUACAUUUUUUUAAUAAAAGCCAAGAUCACUUUUGGGUUAAGUACGCUUUUUUUUUUUCAGAUAUCGAUGGUAUAGAUGUAGACGUGUAUGGAUGCUGCGUAGAAUUAUUGACACCAGUACAGGAGAGGAGUAGAGGAGUAUUAAACUGUAGAAUGAUGGCAUCAAUCUGGAUCACACGAAAUUAGAAAUUACGAUCUGUCCAUCUCUGGAUAUUGGUGAUCCAGAUAGGCAAACGGGUAGAGCCAGAUGUUCGUAAGAUCGUAAGAGAAGGUUUGUUGCCCAGUUGUCGAGAGCAGGUUGGGUAUAGGUAAUUGUAAAGCAGCGUAUAGAAAAUAAAUAAAUGAAGACUCCACGGGAAAAGAGUACAAGCCGA